GUUUAUUAAAAACAUUUCUUCCUUUUUUGGAAGUACACCCUGCUCAAUGAAUAAUUGUUUCAAUAGCCGCAGUAUACUGACUGUGCAAAGGUAGCAUAAUAACUUGUUUUUUUAAUUAAAUUGCUGAAUGAAUGGGGUAAGGAUAUGUUGAAGUUUUCUUUAUUAAUUAAGAACUUAAUAAAAAGAGUAAAAAUUUCUCUUUUUUUCUGUUUAAGACGAAAAGACCCUAUUAGAACUUGAAAUAAUUGUUUGUUUUUGUUUGGGGGUAAUCGUAUUUGUUGUAAAUACAUGUAGAUAAAAAGUUUCCUUAGGGACAACAAGGGAAUUAUACUUGAGAGUUCGAAUCGAAGGUAGAGAUUCCUAUCUCGAUGUUGAAUCAAAAUAACUUUUAGGUGUAGAGGCUUAAGGAGUUAGCCUGUUCGGCUAUUAAAAUUUUACGUGAUUUGAGUUCAGACCGAUGUAAU
rnacentral:rRNA from 1 species